rnacentral:rRNA from 1 species
GUGGGGAAUAUUCCGCAAUGGACGAAAGUCUGACGGAGCAACGCCGCGUGAGUGAUGAAGGUUUUCGGACUGUAAAGCUCUGUUGUUUAGGACGAAAGUGCCUGUUGCAAACAGUUACAGGUAUUGACGGUACUAAACGAGGAAGCCACGGCUAACUACGUGCCAGCAGCCGCGGUAAUACGUAGGUGGCAAGCGUUGUCCGGAAUUAUUGGGCGUAAAGAGCAUGUAGGCGGGAAUCUAAGUCUGUUGUGAAAAUGCGGGGCUCAACCCCGUAUUGCGAUGGAAACUGGGUUUCUUGAGUGCAGGAGAGGAAAGGGGAAUUCCCAGUGUAGCGGUGAAAUGCGUAGAUAUUGGGAGGAACACCAGUGGCGAAGGCGCCUUUCUGGACUGUGUCUGACGCUGAGAUGCGAAAGCCAGGGUAGCGAACGGGAUUAGAAACCCCGGUAGUCC